CAGGGCAGAUGACCCUUGGUAGAUAUGUCGAGUCAGAACCCACUUCCAGCGAUUAAGCUGGUAUUCCCAUGCCAGGAAGCCCCGCCGUUCACGGCGGGGAGGAUGUCACCGAGGUAUCC
rnacentral:sRNA from 1 species